rnacentral:sRNA from 1 species
GAUGUGAGGGCGAUCUGGCUGCGACGUCUGUCACCCCGUUGAUCGCCAGGGUUGAUUAGGCUGAUCUGGCUGACUAGGCAGGUGCCUGUGUUCCCAGCUACUC